rnacentral:rRNA from 1 species
CCGGCGAGUUACUGUAUGCAGCGAGGUUAAGGUGUAGAGCACCGGAGCCGCAGGGAAACCGAGUCUGAAAUGGGCGAAUAGUUGCAUAUAGUACACCCGAAACCGGGUGACCUAUCCAUGGACAGGAUGAAGCGGCGGUAAGACGCCGUGGAGGUCCGAACCACACGUACGUUGAAAAGUGCGGGGAUGAGCUGUGGAUAGCGGAGAAAUUCCAAUCGAACUCGGAGAUAGCUGGUUCUCCCCGAAAUAGCUUUAGGGCUAGCCUCGUAUAAGAUUACCGGGGGUAGAGCACUGAAUGGGCUAGGGGGCCACAAAGCUUACCGAACCCUAUCAAACUACGAAUACCGGAUAAUUGGUGUACGGGAGUCAGACGGCGUGAGAUAAGUUUCGUCGUCGAGAGGGAAACAGCCCAGAUCUACGACUAAGGUCCCAAAAUCACAGUUAAGUGGAAAAGGAUGUGCAGUUGCACAAACAACCAGGAUGUUGGCUUAGAAGCAGCCACACAUUUAAAGAGUGCGUAAUAGCUCACUGGUCGAGUGAUUGUGCGCCGAAAAUGUACCGGGGCUAAACUGUGUACCGAAGUCUAGGGAUGUGGAGACACAUCGGUAGGGGAGCAACGUAUACGGGCGGAAGCCGAAGCGGAAGCGACGGUGGACUGUAUGGGAGAGAGAAUGCCGGCAUGAGUAGCGAGAGCAAAGUGAGAAUCUUUGCCGUCGAAAGCCUAAGGUUUCCUGAGGAAGGCUCGUCCACUCAGGGUAAGUCAGGACCUAAGCCGAGGACAGAAGUCGUAGGCGAUGGACAACUGGUUGAUAUUCCAGUACCACCUCAAGCGAUUGACAGAAGCAGUGACACAGAAGGAUAGACAGAGCACGGGGAUGGAAGGCCGUGUCCAAGCAGUGAGGCUGGUUGGUAGUGAAGUACGCCAACUAAGGCUAGGCUGUGAAGGGGACCGAAGAUCAGUAGGGAAGCUGUUGAAUUCACGCUGGCGAGAAAAGCUGCUAUGGAGCGAAGAGGUGCCUGUACCGCAAACCGACACAGGUAGGCGAGGAGAGAAUCCUAAGACGAGCGGGAGAACCCUUGUUAAGGAACUCGGCAAAAUGACCCUGUAACUUCGGGAUAAAGGGAGCCUCGAGAGAGGCCGCAGAGAAUAGGCCCAAGCGACUGUUUACCAAAAACACAGGUCUGUGCGAAGUAGAGAUACGACGUAUACGGGCUGACGCCUGCCCAGUGCCGGAAGGUUAAGGGGAAGUGUUAGGGUAACCGAAGCACGGAACUUAAGCCCCGGUGAACGGCGGCCGUAACUAUAACGGUCCUAAGGUAGCGAAAUUCCUUGUCGGGUAAGUUCCGACCCGCACGAAUGGCGUAACGAUUUGGGCACUGUCUCAACAAGGGACCCGGCGAAAUUGUAGUAUGUGUGAAGAUGCACAUUACCCGCGAUAGGACGGAAAGACCCCGUAGAGCUUUACUGUAGUUUGACAUUGGAUUUCGGUAACACAUGUACAGGAUAGGUGGGAGACGGAGAACUAGGGACGCCAGUUCCUAGGGAGUCAGCCUUGGGAUACCACUCUUGUGUUACUGGAGUUCUAACGAGCAGCUGUGAACCAGGGCUUGGACAGUGUCAGAUGGGCAGUUUGACUGGGGCGGUCGCCUCCGAAAGGGUAACGGAGGCGUCCAAAGGUUCCCUCAGAAUGGUUGGAAACCAUUCGCAGAGUGUAAAGGCAGAAGGGAGCUUGACUGCGAGACCGACAGGUCGAGCAGGUACGAAAGUAGGGCUUAGUGAUCCGGCGGUAUGAGAGUGGAAUUGCCGUCGCUCAACGGAUAAAAGCUACCUCGGGGAUAACAGGCUUAUCUCCCCCAAGAGUCCACAUCGACGGGGAGGUUUGGCACCUCGAUGUCGGCUCGUCGCAUCCUGGGGCUGGAGCAGGUCCCAAGGGUUUGGCUGUUCGCCAAUUAAAGCGGCACGCGAGCUGGGUUCAGAACGUCGUGAGACAGUUCGGUCCCUAUCCAUCGUGGGCGCAGGAGAUUUGAGAGGAGCUGUCCUUAGUACGAGAGGACCGGGA